rnacentral:misc_RNA from 1 species
AAGUCGUAACAAGGUAUCCGUAGGUGAACCUGCGGAUGGAUCAUUAGAAAGUGCGAGGUGCUUCGGCACCGACCACCCACUCUGUGCACUGUAACGUACCCUGCGGUCGAGGGCUUAGGCUCGAGGCCGCGCUGGGCUGUUCCUUACGGGACGGCCGAAUAAACACGUCAACCAACGUCUGAAGCUAAAGAAACAAUGUUAAACAACUUUUGACAACGGAUCUCUUGGCUCUC